UUGCAUUAUAGAAAUUAUGGCUGAAGGGAAGAGUGAGAUGGAUAAGGAUGUUACGGAGAUCAAAAAGUGGAUUGUAUGAUAUAUGUCGAGAUUAUUAAGUUUUCUCUUUUUGGUUCGAUAAUAACAAUUGGUUCAAUGAUUGGAGCUGUUACGAGCGGAAGAAUUGCAGACACAAUUGUUCGAAAAGGGGAACAAAAAUAAUAAGAUCCUAAAGAUGAGUUUAGAAGUUGUGCGGAUGAGGAGGAACUCAAUAUCGAAGGAACAAUCAAACAUGGUAUAAUGGUUUACCCGGCUGGUUACAAGUUCUAAACUGGGCUGAACCAUUAAAACAUCAAAACUAUAAGCUCGAGUUUGCUAGGUGUUAUCUAAAUACUCUGUCACAUUAUACUUGCUUUCACUAUAUGUGUGUGUAUUUUAGGAAAUAGAAACAAAUUCGCUGCCAACUAGGUGUCUUUCUUUGGAUUUUUGUUUUGCGACUUCACUACUAGAUGAAUUUAUGUAAUGUUACUUUAUUUGCAUUACUACUUUUAUUGAUAUACU